rnacentral:misc_RNA from 1 species
AUUUGCGGGGAUGCUGAGGUCGCCAUGGACAGCAUCUCGCGUAUCGUCGUACACGCAAUGAUGCUACAGCACUUUUCGCAUGUAUUGACCGAUUACGCAGCCAUCGGCCAACGAGUCGAAAACCCUCUCUGCGACGUGACUAGCGUCACCACAAGUGCUACCUGUUUCUUCGGAGCAGCAAGCGCGCAAAAAAUCCGGAAAAAAGAGAACAGCAGAGGUGGAGACAGGAGCGUGGCUGUCCAUGCUGUCUUGCUGGGAAGACUUUCUGCGUGUUUUCGAGCGAUAUGGUCAUGAGUGCACGCUUCUUACGUCUCUAUGGAACUCGAUCGGUAUGGCGCUCUUGUUGGGAGCCUUCCUCAGUGAUUCCCCUCUUCUGAAAAAAAAAUAAAAAAGAGAGGAGGCGAACGAACUCUUUUUCCUCAUUCGAAACGAGCGCUGUGUGAGCACACGUGCCGGCUACCUCCCUUCAUCACUCCUCCUCGUCGUCGUCGCUUAGCCUCGCUUCUGUUCCGUUUUUGUUUUGUUUUGCGUUGUCUCACGUCUAUGCGAAUCGAAAGAAGCGAUGGUACCCCUCACAGAUCUCUUCGCUUUCUCUAUAUAUAUAUAUUUUUAUUUUGCGCAUGUGCGUUUCUUUCGCGUCAUUUAUGUUCAUUGAUCGGCUUGAUUUUUUUGUGCCCUUUCCAUGAGCUCUCUUGCGCAAGCGUGUGACUUUCUGACGUGUGAGUGCGAGUGUAUGGGCGUGAUCAGGAAUCCCUGUGACAUCCAUUCAUAGCCUCGAUGAUGUCCACGCACACUCCCUAUUCAUGCCUUCGCGUCCUCGAGGGUUUUUUGUUUUCUUUUAUUUCCUACAUCAUCCGUGUUUGAGCAGCCCUCGUGUUGGUUGCCUGAUGAGGUGUGCACGAUGAGGCAGCAGGUGCCACACCGAUAUUGUGCGCGGCUUUUCCUUUGUAAGUGUGUGUGCGUGUGUGUGUAUGUGAGAAAGUUGCACUAACUUAUAUAUUUUGUCAUUUCUUGUCGUACUACCUUUCACAUGCUUCUCUCUGCGACUUCCCUCUUCUCUUUUCGAUAACGCACUUCGCUCUUUCUAUGCCUUUUCUCACCGUCACUGUUGUCUUCACAUUCCAUUGCGACGCCUUCUUUGUGUGAUGUGUGUGUGUGUGUGCGUGGGCAUGUGCGUUUGUGUGCCUCGUUCGAGUGCCUUCUAUUUUUCUGCCCCCCCCCCCCCCCUUCCUCCACCCUUACUUUAUGGCUCGAACGUACGUCUUUUCACCUGCCCCUCCCGAGUAUGUGUGUGCGUCUGACUUGGUGUGUAGGCCACGUGCAGCCUCAUCAAUCGACGGCCUCUUUUUCUCUCUCUCACACACAACUCCUGCGUGCACUGUGAUGCGACCGCGAAGAGCACGCCGGAUGGGCUGACCGUACUCCCGUUGCUGUAUCCUAACGUCUUCGUUUCCUUUGUUUUGCCUUUUACAGUUUUGGUUGCUCAUGUUUCUCGUAUUUGUUCGCUCGCGUCCUCUCCUGCCCUCUGCGCUUGCGCACGUGCCGCUCUUUCUCGGGGUCGAUGCUUGUGCCGCGUGCCGCCAUCGCUGUGACUUUAUCGCUCUCUCUCCCAGCCACACGCGGCCCUCGCUUUUUGUGUUUGGCGGAUAAAGGCUCCCCUGAUGACCGGCGGUGCAGUGGACACGCCUCCCUGCGUGGGGGGAAGCCAAAGCAGCGCCCCCUCUACCCCUCUGCCAAACACUGAGCCACCUCCGGUGGUCGCAGGGCCGGGUAUCUAGGACGCAGGCGGAGGCCAGGGCAAGGCUUUGCUACGGAUGUCAGCGGCCAGGUCGUGGACGGUGCGGUGCGUAGGGCGGGGGGACCUGCGACAGUGGACACGCUGGCGCCAUCUGUAUGAUGGGCGGAGUGUCAGCGUGACUCGAACGCGUGUCACGAGGCUCCACACUGCCUACUGGUGGACGAAGCCUGCGCCACGCCGAGUUGGACGCACCAGGCAGCGACCAAGGUGACAGGGUGCGGCUGCGGAGUGGGGUUAGAUGGGUAGAGUAUGAGUUAGAGGCCGUGCUCAAACGAAUAGGCCAGCACAUGGCUGUAGCGUGCGCCUGCAAGGGCUCUGCACUACAUGAUGAGGGCCUGUCACAGGGAAAGUGGGGUGAUAGAGUGGCGUUCGAGUCAUGUGUGGCAGCGACUGAGCACGUGGGAGCAGAGUAUAGGUGACGGCGCACCGUUACCUUUGCCCUUGCCCGUUUUUCUACACGAUCUCCGUCACAGUGGCUAGAUUAUCUGCCGCGUUGUGUCGCUGAUUUUUUUUUUUGCGUGCGCGCGUGUGUGUGUGUGGGGGGGGAGGGCUGGCGCAUGUGCCGGCCCUUCCACUGACCGUGACACACGUCUGCCUCGGACGAACAAAAAAUAGAAGUAAACAUAUACAUAAUAUCUUAUAUAUAUAUGUGUUGUGUAUGGUUUUCAUGUUUUAUGCAUUGCAACUACGUUUUUUUUUUCCGGUCGUUUCCGCGUGUGUCUGUACAUGCCUGACGCGCUUCACAGCGGCUAUCGGCUUUUGGAAAUUGUCUCUCUCAUGUCCGCAACGCUUGCCACUUCUCUUCCUCGCCAUUUUCGUCACACGGCGAACUCUGUCUAUAGAGUGUCUAAAGUGAGACUUGGUGUAGGCAGAGAAUGUUGCAGCAUCUGCGUUGCUGGUGCGGUGCACGGUGCUGACGAAUGACGAAGAGGGAGGAGACGACACACAGUGUGCGAGGCAUAUCCUUUGGUUUCUUCUUUUCAGAUCUCGCUGGUGCUAUCACAGAGGUGUUCUGGUCUAUAUCUGGGCUUCCCACGCGUACAUGUGUGGUCGCUGGUUGGCGAGUGUCGCUCGUUUAUCGUGGGGUUUCCCUUUGCCGCUGUAUCUGGUGACACGCUGGAGACGGUGGGAGUACUUGUCAAGCAUUGAAUGCCCCGUAUCUAUCUAUCUAUAUAUAUAUAUAUAUAUAUAUAUAUAUACGCAACACAACCGCAAAAAAAAAAACGAGUCUCGCUGGCCCCGCUUUCGCGCUGCGUCUCUUUUCUGUUUUUUUUUUUUGUGGUGGGGCAGGGGGGUACACAUCAACUGCCGCCCCUCCCCUUAUCAUGAGUGCCUAUCAGAACAGAGAGAGCUUAUACAC